rnacentral:rRNA from 1 species
GACGAACCACACAAACGUUAUUCGGAAUUACUGGGCUUAAAGGGUGCGUAGGCGGCCUUGUAAGUCAGUGCUGAAAUAUCCCGGCUUAACCGGGAGGGUGGCAUUGAUACUGCAGGGCUUGAGUAAAGUUGAGGUUGGCGGAAUUGACGGUGUAGCGGUGAAAUGCUUAGAUAUCGUCAAGAACACCGAUAGUGAAGACAGCUAACUAAGCUUUAACUGACGCUGAGGCACGAAAGUGUGGGGAUCAAACAGG